rnacentral:rRNA from 1 species
UGCAGAGGUCUCAAGCGUUGUUCGGAUUCAUUGGGCGUAAAGGGUGCGUAGGCGGCGCGGUAAGUCGGGUGUGAAAUCUCGGAGCUUAACUCCGAAACUGCAUUCGAUACUGCCGUGCUUGAGGACUGGAGAGGAGACUGGAAUCUACGGUGUAGCGGUGAAAUGCGUAGAUAUCGUAAGGAAGACCAGUGGCGAAGGCGGGUCUCUGGACAGUUCCUGACGCUGAGGCACGAAGGCCAGGGGAGCAAACGGG